CCGAUCCCACCGCCAGCGCCCGCGCACCACCACCCGCUCCUCCUCGCCUUCCAGAUCACGCCGCCACCUCCCUCCCCAUCCCCUCCUGGAUCUCUUCCUCGGUGAGCCACCGGCGAGCCCCUCUACUGCCCGCGCACGCACAACCUCGGCUCCUGUUGCUCUGCAUCGACCCCGAUGCUCCUACUCCAGCCGGCAUCUGGCGGAGCAUCGCCACUCCGACCCCCUCCCUUCCCCACCCGCUCCUCUCGAUCCCGUCCCCUUCCUCCCUGCCGUCUUCUCCUUGCGACGCCCCACCCUCCACCAGGCCCUCCGCCAGCCCGAGCCCCUCGCUCCCUUCUCCACCUUCGCUCGACUUGACCAUGUCGUCGUGGGGGAUGGGGUCGUUGGGCUCACGGCCGAGCUCGACAAGGUGGAGCUCGUGCGCGCCCACGACGAUCCUGAGCGCAACGCCGGCUUCUGCUUCCUCUACUACGCGGACGGCGCAGGUCGACGGUGUAGGUCGCGGGCGUGGCGGAGCCCAUCCAUCCACCCAUCUUCCCCAAAGUUUCCUUCGACAAGUAGCAGCAGCGGAAGGACAUGGCGACGAACGUGCAGAUGGGCGGCGGCUCUCGCUCAUCAACAACACCUUCUACUCCAACAAGGAGAUCUUCCUCCGCGAGCUCAUCUCCAACUCGUCAGAUGCGCUUGACAAGAUCCGGCUCGAGAGCCUGACGGACAAGAGCAAGCUCGACGCCAGCCGGAGCUCUUCAUCCGCCUCAUCCCCGGUAAGCCCAACAAGACGCUCUCCAUCAUCGACAGGGCGUCGGCAUGACAAAAUCAGGAGCGUCACUGGAUUCUGGAAUCUGACCGAGAUCCCGCCGGAGCUCUUCAACUCGAUGGAGCUGGUCUCUCUGUGAGUCAUGGCAUUGGUGUCUGUUGCUGUGCAAACUGCUUACACUAGGCAAUGCGAGAAUUAAACAACCUACUAGAGGACAAUGAGAUCAAUGUGCCUAACAACAACCAGCAGUUCAUCAGCAUCCUGACUGGCCAUGUUAACUCCACGUCCUACUUCUCGAUGGACGCUGCAUCCUUCCCCAGCAGGCUGCCAAUGGCUGCGUGCCUGCGCCCUGCUGCUUCUGCGCCGGUGCCGGCCACCGCGCCCAGUCGCCACGGCCAGCGGCAAUAGUCUCCUCGGCGGACGGCAGUGUGCAGGUGUGCACCCUGGCACUGGGGACUAGAGACGUGCAGCAUAGAAGGCCAGCAGCUAGGAGCUGAGCAGCUGUACACAGAGCCGGUGGUAAGAUUGAGGUGGACCAGAUUGCUAAUUUCUACCUGGUGUCGGAGCAACAGCGAGCAACAGACCUUUUCUCGUAGAAGGUGAAGAGGUCGUCGUUCAGCACGUCGGACAAAGUUCUUCAGCUGUCGGACGAGGUGGAGGCACGCUUCCUGUAGCACUUCGCGGGUAACGACUCGAGAUGGUGGCCUCUAUUCAUGUUUCGUCGUGAGCUCCAGCAUGAAGAAGUUGGAAGAAGCAAUGCAUGAUGGAUCUAGGAGCAGUAUAAUGCUGAUUUGUAAACUUGUUGUAAUGCUAAUUCAGGUUGUAAUGCUGAUUGUAUGUGUCAUCCUUCAUUGUACACUUGUGGAGCUUGUUAUAUGAUUGUAAACUUGAUGCUGAUCACAUUGUAUGUGUGUUAUAUGAUCUAGCACUUUGAUGGUUGAUAACAUUUGAAGUAUUUCGUGUG